rnacentral:rRNA from 1 species
UGCGCCUUGCCACGCCCGCUCAGAAACUUAAAGGAAUUAGACGGGGGCCCGGCACAAGCGGAGGAACAUGUGGUUUAAUUCGAUGAUACGCGAGGAACCUUACCUGGGCUAGAACGCAUUCGGAAUCAGGCCGAAAGGCCUGCGCCAGCGAUGGCCGCUUGCGAGGUGCUGCAUGGUUGUCGUCAGCUCGUGCCGUGAGGUGUCGGGUUAAGUCCCAUAACGAGCGCAACCCCUACUGCUAGUUGCCAGCGGGUCAUGCCGGGGACUCUAGCGGAACUGCCAGCGUAAGCUGCGAGGAAGGUGGGGAUGACGUCAAAUCAGCACGGCCCUUACGUCCAGGGCUACACACGUGUUACAAUGGCCGGUACAGAGGGCAGCCACCCCGCGAGGGGGCGCGAAUCCCGAAAGCCGGUCCCAGUUCGGAUCGGAGUCUGCAACCCGACUCCGUGAAGCUGGAUUCGCUAGUAAUCGCGCAUCAGCCACGGCGCGGUGAAUACGUUCCCGGGCCUU